GCCCUCAUAGCCCAAUAGGUAGAGGCAGGCGGCUUAAACCCGCCUUGUUGUCGGUUCGAGUCCGACUGGGGGCA
rnacentral:tRNA from 1 species